GUGUACGUACAAGCAGUGGGAGCACAGGUUUACCUGUGUGACUGCGUACCUUUUGUAUAAUGGGUCAGCGACUUAUAUUCUGUAGCAAGGUUAACCGUAUAGGGGAGCCGUAGGGAAACCGAGUCUUAACCGGGCGUUAAGUUGCAGGGUAUAGACCCGAAACCCGGUGAUCUAGCCAUGGGCAGGUUGAAGGUUGGGUAACACUAACUGGAGGACCGAACCGACUAAUGUUGAAAAAUUAGCGGAUGACCUGUGGCUGGGGGUGAAAGGCCAAUCAAACCGGGAGAUAGCUGGUUCUCCCCGAAAGCUAUUUAGGUAGCGCCUCGUGAAUUCAUCUCCGGGGGUAGAGCACUGUUUCGGCUAGGGGGCCAUCCCGGCUUACCAACCCGAUGCAAACUGCGAAUACCGGAGAAUGUUAUCACGGGAGACACACGGCGGGUGCUAACGUCCGUCGUGAAGAGGGAAACAACCCAGACCGCCAGCUAAGGUCCCAAAGUCAUGGUUAAGUGGGAAACGAUGUGGGAAGGCCCAGACAGCCAGGAUGUUGGCUUAGAAGCAGCCAUCAUUUAAAGAAAGCGUAAUAGCUCACUGGUCGAGUCGGCCUGCGCGGAAGAUGUAACGGGGCUAAACCAUG
rnacentral:rRNA from 1 species